rnacentral:rRNA from 1 species
CCUACGGGUGGCAGCAGUGAGGAAUAUUGGUCAAUGGACGAGAGUCUGAACCAGCCAAGUAGCGUGAAGGAUGACUGCCCUAUGGGUUGUAAACUUCUUUUAUAUGGGAAUAAAAUGUUCCACGUGUGGGAUUUUGUAUGUACCAUAAGAAUAAGGAUCGGCUAACUCCGUGCCAGCAGCCGCGGUAAUACGGAGGAUCCGAGCGUUAUCCGGAUUUAUUGGGUUUAAAGGGAGCGUAGGUGGAUUGUUAAGUCAGUUGUGAAAGUUUGCGGCUCAACCGUAAAAUUGCAGUUGAAACUGGCAGUCUUGAGUACAGUAGAGGUGGGCGGAAUUCGUGGUGUAGCGGUGAAAUGCUUAGAUAUCACGAAGAACUCCGAUUGCGAAGGCAGUUCACUGGACUGCAACUGACACUGAGGCUCGAAAGUGUGGGUAUCAAACAGGAUUAGAUACCCGAGUAGUC